rnacentral:rRNA from 1 species
AGAGUUUGAUCAUGGCUCAGAGUGAACGCUGGCGGCAGGCCUAACACAUGCAAGUCGAGCGGCAGCACAGCAGUAGCAAUACUGUGGGUGGCGAGCGGCGGACGGGUGAGGAACACAUCGGAAUCUACCCUGUCGUGGGGGACAACGUAGGGAAACUUACGCUAAUACCGCAUACGACCUUUGGGUGAAAGCGGGGGACUCGCAAGAGCCUCGCGCGAUUGGAUGAGCCGAUGUCCGAUUAGCUAGUUGGCGGGGUAAUGGCCCACCAAGGCGACGAUCGGUAGCUGGUCUGAGAGGACGACCAGCCACACUGGAACUGAGACACGGUCCAGACUCCUACGGGAGGCAGCAGUGGGGAAUAUUGGACAAUGGGGGCAACCCUGAUCCAGCCAUGCCGCGUGGGUGAAGAAGGCCUUCGGGUUGUAAAGCCCUUUUGUACGGGAAGAAAAGCUGCCGGGUAAUAUCCGGUGGUCAUGACGGUACCGUAAGAAUAAGCACCGGCUAACUUCGUGCCAGCAGCCGCGGUAAUACGAAGGGUGCAAGCGUUACUCGGAAUUACUGGGCGUAAAGCGUGCGUAGGUGGUGAGUUAAGUCUGAUGUGAAAUCCCCGGGCUCAACCUGGGAAUGGCAUUGGAUACUGGCUCGCUAGAGUGCGGUAGAGGGUGGUGGAAUUCCCGGUGUAGCAGUGAAAUGCGUAGAGAUCGGGAGGAACAUCUGUGGCGAAAGCGGCGCACUGGACCAUAACUGACGCUGAGGCGCGAAAGCUAGGGGAGCAAACAGGAUUAGAUACCCUAGUAGUCC